GCAAUGCCAGUCAAUCAAAUGAAAUGUGAAUCCUUUUGGCUCGAUCGACUGGCAGCGAUAAAGAGUCGUGGCGCAGCUCGAUCGCCGAGUCAUAACAAGGGCUCCCUCCCAAUGUUGAUGAACCGUGUGAUUUGCAUCGGCAGCUGUUUAUCCAUCAUAUGUAUUCGGGAUGAGAUUAUUAUUCCAUUCGUUAAUGCUCUCUCUCUCGGCUUGGCCCACGGAUUCAGCCUCUGCCAUGUAUUCAAACGCCAACGCCUCGACACUCGGUAAUGAGCAUCAUAGGGACCUCUUCUUCUUCUUCUUCUUACAGAAUAAUUUAAAGAAGAUGGUUGCUUGUCCUGUUAUCUCCUUUCAAAAAAAUAGGGACACGGUCCAACAAAAUCGGUUAUCAGGUGAUGUAUACAAAUUCUCAUUUUUCGUACGAGAUACUCAAGAGAUCGGAGCUUCUUGAAAAUGUUGUGGGGUUGGACGUAAAAGGGCGGAUAGGUCGAAUAGCCCAGCAAGGGGCUGCCCAGUCUAAGUCCUCGAAGAUAUUGAUGAACUCAACGGCAACUGCUGCGCUGGAUGGCUCUACAAAAGAAGAGUUCCAGCCUCCUUCUUGUUCUGUCUUUAAAGAAAACCAAGCACUUGUCCGACAGUUUCACAUCGCUCACACCAAAUACAACGGGAUUUUGUACAUACAGUACAUAGCCUACACUAUACACUGGCCAUAUAGUAACUAUAGACUAGGACCGCAAAAAGGAGGAUGAAUUCCUUGUGAAUUUUCUUCGUUCAAAGAGUCGAUGGUCAGAAACUUUGAAAGAGAGAAGGCGAAACUCUCUGUGUACAUUACACUGCGCCCGGUGUACAAUGAAGAGCAAAAUGAAGUCGUUGAACAUCGACAAGUGACAACAAUAAGAGUCUAUACAUCCCUUUUCUUCCUUAUUAUUUGAUUAUAUUAUAUAUACUGUAUAUGUAUAUAUUUUUUUGCCAGUAUAUAUAGAGUCUCGGGCGAGUGCCAGGACAAACAAAGAGAACGCACAAAAAAAAGGUGAACUCGAAAGACUCACCAAAAAAAAAUCACAUACAGUGUUGAACACGAGUGGAAUUGUGUGAAUUUUGAAUUCAUUCAUUGUCCAUCUUUCUUAUUUUUUGUGUGCCAUUCGUCUCUCUUUCUCUCCUUUUUUUUUGUGUGUGUUUCCCUUUGAAAUUUACACACUGAGCGCUGUGCCUCUAGAAAAAUGUGACAAGGGACUGGAAAAGUGCUGGAACACUGGCGAAAAUUGAAGCAAAAUGGGAAAGAAUGAAAACGACUAUAAUAAACUGGUUGGACGGA